rnacentral:lncRNA from 1 species
GAGGACACAGUCAAAAGUAUCUUCAAAUCCUAAAGUUUGACAAGCUUGGGCGUAAAGGAUGCAAGCUACUGGUCUUCUCUAAUUUGCACAGCGGUAUGAAAGAAUCAGUGUAUUGUCACUGAUGCCGAACAACAAGGAUAUCCACUAAUAGAUGAUGUUAUCAUAAGGAAGGGCUGAUGGCUAAUGUUUUCAAGAAUCAGGCUGAUCUACCAAGGGCUCGUUUGGACAUCAUAUUGCAUACGGACACAAGCAUGACUGUAUUGCUACGGCCAGGUAAGCAUUUCCCGGUGAGCAGUGGAAGUGUUAGAACAGCCAGAGAGAUCAGGAAUUGGCUGCCGCUCGAUGAUA